CAGCCGCCGCGGUAAUACGUAGGUGGCAAGCGUUGUCCGGAAUUAUUGGGCGUAAAGCGUGCGCAGGCGGUCCGCUAAGACAGAUGUGAAAUCCCCGGGCUUAACCUGGGAACUGCAUUUGUGACUGGCGGGCUUGAGUUCGGGAGAGGUGAGUGGAAUUCCCAGUGUAGAGGUGAAAUUCGUAGAUAUUGGGAAGAACACCAGUGGCGAAGGCGGCUCACAGGACCGACACUGACGCUGAGGCGCGAAAGCGUGGGGAGCAAACAGGAUUAGAUACCCCGGUAGUCCCUGUCUCUUAUAC
rnacentral:rRNA from 1 species